AGGGUUCGAUCCUGGCUCAGGACGAACGCUGGCGGUGCGCCUUAUGCAUGCAAGUCGAGCGAAGCUUUUCAGUAGUUUACUACAGAAAAUGACUGAGCGGCGAACGGGUGAGUAACGCGUGAGCAAUCUACCUUAGUUACAGGGAUAGCCCGAGGAAACUCGGAUUAAUACCUGAUAUUCUUUAUUUCUCGCAUGAGAAUAAAAGGAAAGGUCAGCCGAACUAAGAUGAGCUCGCGUUCUAUCAGCUAGUUGGUGAGGUAAAAGCUUACCAAGGCUACGACGGAUAGCUGGUCUGAGAGGAUGAUCAGCCACACUGGGACUGAGACACGGCCCAGACUCCUACGGGAGGCAGCAGUGGGGAAUAUUGGACAAUGGGGGAAACCCUGAUCCAGCAAUGCCGCGUGUGUGAUGAAGGCCUUAGGGUUGUAAAGCACUUUCACUGGUGAAGAUGAUGACGGUAACCAGAGAAGAAGCCCCGGCUAACUUCGUGCCAGCAGCCGCGGUAAUAC
rnacentral:rRNA from 1 species